rnacentral:rRNA from 1 species
CGAAGGGGCUAGCGUUGUUCGGAAUUACUGGGCGUAAAGCGCACGUAGGCGGAUAUUUAAGUCAGGGGUGAAAUCCCGGGGCUCAACCCCGGAACUGCCUUUGAUACUGGGUAUCUAGAGUAUGGAAGAGGUGAGUGGAAUUCCGAGUGUAGAGGUGAAAUUCGUAGAUAUUCGGAGGAACACCAGUGGCGAAGGCGGCUCACUGGUCCAUUACUGACGCUGAGGUGCGAAAGCGUGGGGAGCAAACAGGAUU